rnacentral:lncRNA from 1 species
UAGACAACAAGCGCCUACAAAUGCAAUGUCCUUUUUUAGCUCAUGAAUCAGAUCGAGAGUUACAAAUCCUUUGCUGCAGAUAAGAUAGCAAAACAGGGUGUCAAAUCUUCUUCCUUCUUCCAUGGGGGGAAAAAGGCGUUUCCUUUUCUUUUCUUUUCCUAUCUUUUCUUUCUGAGGGUACGUUUCCUUCUUUUUAUUGCUACCAAUAAAUCGAGGAGGUACUACAUUAGUAACGAAAUCAGGCAAUGAGCGUGUCAAAGUCUGAAGAAACAGGACAAGAAAUUAAGGCUGGGCGGUUCAGGACAGGCAAAGACUUGCAGAGCCACCCACCCAUCCAUGGAAGCAUUUACUUCAACGCCCUACGGAUCCCCACCAAUAAAUUUCGAGGAAACAACUCUAGCGUACCUGGACUCUCGAGAAGAAAGAGAUUUUCCCAGCAUUUAACUUGGAAACUAUAGGGUGGCAAACUGCAACGAACAGAUGAGUACUUCCUGCCUCUCUCCUCGUGGACGUCGUCGUAAUGCCGCGGACGGGCAGUACUGAACGCAUAUGCUCCCGCUGAACGGGGGCGGAGGGGAUUACCACGCUGUCUGAUCACCCUACUGGGUUGGAAAUGUUACC